UAUAAUAUAGUAAUUGAUUUAGAUUAAUAUAGUAAAUGAAGAGGUAAUCAAAAUCACCUCUUCUAUUAUAUAGAGCAGAAAAGAAAAGAAAAGAAAAAAAAAGAAAAGAAAUAAAUAAAAAACCGCGAGCAGCUCUCUCAAAACUCCCAGUGAUAAAUCUCAAAUCCGACCCCCUCUCUCAAAACUUCCACUGAUAAUCUCAAAUUCGACCCCCUCUCUCUCUCAAAACUCCUUCAAUUUUACAACUUGGUAGUGUUUCCAGUAAGGAAUUUGGAAUGUAUUCAACGUUGUCGUCCUCAUCGUCUUGAGUUGAAGCAACCCUGCUAAAAUCUGGCCCCGUCUCUCAAAGCUCUCUCGUCCAACUCCUAAAUCCGUGAGCUCUUUCAUUCCAAAUAAGGUUGAAAGCUUUGAUUUUUCCUUAUCUAUGUAUAGAAUAGAAAGUGAAUCUAUGAAUUUCUUGGGUCUCCUUUAAUUUUCCGAAAAUGUGAAGAUUAUAAACGAAUAGUUGGGGUUUUGUUGUCUUGUCUUAGAACUGCGUUUCUAUGCUUUCCGAUUUCUUGUGUUUCUUUCAGAGUGUCGUGGGUAGUGGUAUGGACUGCAUACAUUUUAUCUUUCCCAGACCCCACUUGGUAGGAACUCACUGGGUAUGUUGUUGUUGUUUCAGAGCGUCGUUUCAGAUUGUGAAUCUAUCCUUUUCAAUCGAAUAGUUGGGGGUUUUAUGCGAUUUUUCAGAUUGCUUUCUGAAUAUUUGGGGGUUUUAUGCGAUUUUCAGAAUUUUGAAUCUCAUUAUCUAGAGAACUUAACAGCUAAUAAGUAAGACAUUUCCAAGCAUUUUUUUAAUUUUCUAUUAAUUAUAUGUGAUGUUAUCUCUUGGAAGCACUUUUCAGUGUGCUAGUGAUCUUGGUCUAUUUUUAUUGAAGUAGGAAACAAAAUGAAUAUUAGGUUUACACAAGUUUAAAUGAAUCAUGAGAAUUACAUCGAAGAUCUAAAAGGGAACCACAUGAAAACAAUGUGUUUGUCAGUCAAAAACAACUAAUUAUUAGGUUGAGGUAGACUAUCUAAUUACAGAGAAUCAUCAGCCUUAAACUGACAGAUGCAUAAGUUCAUAUCUGGCUUAUAAGAAAUCAUACAAUAAGUCGUUGGGUUGGAAACAAGUUAUGAAGGGAUAGAUGAAUUAGUUAUCUCGUAUCCCUUGUACCAAACAGCUCCUAAGUAUGUGUAUUUUCCUUAAUGUGCUAUAACUACAAACCAUCAAAUUAUUACAUUGAUCAAUCAACCAUUCUUCAAUCUCAACCUAGCUAGUUACCAGUUUCUAUAUGAAUCCUCGGACCUACUAAGAAACACUGGAGAUUGACAAUUAGAAUAUGGAUUCAGAAUUUCAGCUCGAUUCAGACGGAUAGGCUUAAGAAAAAUAUUAACAGCAUACCAUAUAGUUUGAACAAUUAUGCCUAACAAAUUGUCAUAGAACUGGAGAUAUCCUGGUUCCUGCCUUUGAGCCUUAAAUGGGCAAGCAAUGAACUUAUAGAUAGCAAAUUUGAACACAGCAUACCAUAUGGUUUACUAGUUUUAGGCCACAAAUAUUUGACUGUUCUACACAGUUGAAAAAAAUUAACCCGCACCCAAAAUUUGCACCAAACUAAUGAUUAAAUAUCACACACAUUUCUCACUUCAGUUAAGAACUUAACCAUGAAAAAAUAGUGCCUUUAGUGGAAUACCAAGAGUGAAUAAAAAUGUCUUCUUGUUUCUUACUGACAUAGUAACAAAUUAAAGCACCCUUUUCCUAAACUCGUACUUCUUAAGUAAUUAAUACAUCACUUGCCACAACUUAACGACUAAUAUUUAGAUAAUAUAUGUAGUCGUAGAGUCAUAAUACAUUGUAACUUGUCGUAACAGUCUAUUGUCCACUUGAUGGAAGUGCACUUGCAAUCAUCUCAAUCAUUGAAAUGGGGUUCUUGAAAGUGUUGUUUGGUUCAAAGUUUCAGUUGUUAUGCAACAUUUCUGGGAAAAAAUAUCUUCAGAGUUUCAACAUUCAUGGUGUGAGUUUUUUUUCAGCUCUUUGGGAAAUCUAAUUUCUAGUCUAUUGGGUUUUAUUCUAUUUUGAAAGUUUUGGAAUCCGAUGAUCCUUUUUUGGUAGGUGUUAAAUUGUUGAUAAUUGGAGAAUUCUUUAAUUCUUUCCAUUGGUGUAUGUGUAUUUAUUGCUGAUUCUAUUCUUUGUAGCAUAUAGAAAUAUAUAUAGGAGACACAGAUAUAUCACAUUUUGUUUUUCUUGGAACUUCACACACUCACAUAUACAGACAUUGUUCUGUUUCUCUUGGAUCAUCUAUAGAGAUUUUUAGCAUUGACAUAUUGUAUAUUUCAUAGUGAAAAUGUGUAUAUUUAUAGAAAGAUAAGGGAGACAGAGACAUAGAGAAGAAAAGGGUGAGGUGAGUUGGAGUUAAAAAGAAAGAAAAAAAAAAGUUGGAAGGGUGUGAAGAAUGUUGGCUGGUUGUUCUUCUUCAUUGUUGUCACCUAGGCAUAGAUUAAGGUGUGAAACAUCUGCACAAUUUCAAGCUUGUAAAUUCCCAUCAAUGAGCACACAAAGAUUGGACUUGCCAUGUAGUUUUGCUAGAAAAAUACUUCAAGGUCCCAGGCUAUUAGGCCAGUAGGGCUUUCUUAGUUCCAAAAAACCCUGCAGACUCAUGUAACUUUUAUAACAUUUUGUCCUUUAUAGCAAGGCCGGAGCCAGCCCUUUGGUAGGGGGUUCAUCCGAACCCCCUUCAACGGAGAAAUAUAUCAUUUAUAAAUAAUUAAAAUUAAAAUUAUUUUUAUGUAUCUAAAGUAGGUGUUGAAUCCCCUUCGGCUAGGUUUUCUUCAAAUAUUGAACCCAUUAGUUGAAAUCCUGGCUCUGCCUUUGCUUUAAAGCUAUGCAGUUGUGAUAUUUCUAAUUGCGCUUCCACUUUUUCCUUUGGAAACUUAUGAAAUUAUUAGCCAAGCUCCGAAUACAGGAAUUGGGAACUUGUUCAGCUUAUUUUAGUUGGUAUAGUUGUUUCUUAUGGCUUAUUCAGCAAAAAAAAAGUGAUGAUGAGAUAGAAAAUGAAUAUUUAUCUAGUUCAAAGUUUGAUUAUGUUCAAUUUAAGAUUACUUGAAGUUUCAUCUUUUUUUUUUUAUGAUGAGGCUGAAAAACAUGAUGUGUGUGAUGAAAAUAGAGUUCAGACUUGGAAUAAUUUAGUGGUGGUUUCUUUCUGUAUGUGAUGCUAUAUUCGUGCUCUCUUUGACACGUACACUUAACCUUCUUUUUUUGCGGUGGUGGUGGGACUUACAACUUGGGCUUCCACCCAUUCGUUGUUAAAAGACAGUUCUUUGUUGCUUUUAAGUUGAAGCAAUGGAUGCUUGCGAGUGAUGGCCUUUCCUUAUGGAGACUAAGUAGAUACAUGAUUAUAUGCUGAUGCCUCUGACAAGCACUUCGACUCCUGACAAUGAAAUGGAUACACGUCAAUUCUGGCUAGCUGCAUUGCCUUCUGAUCUUUCUCUAGUAACUUGCAGUUGUGAGUAGCACAAGUGGAAAUAAGAGAAAUAAUUGUUUCUGUUGUGUGCUUUAUGUAUCAUAGUGUGUUGAUAUCUCCUUGUAUUAUUCUUUUAGAAGAGGCAUUUUUUUGCAGGUAGGUAGCAAGUUGAGGAUAUUUUUUACUCUUGACAAAUAUGUAAAGAUGCAUUAUAUUCCUUUUAAUGUGGAUUGGAGGAAAUUUAAUAUAUGUGUUUAUUGUAGUUUGAUUAAUUGUUGAC